UGUACACACCCAUGAGACUAACAAACAACAUAAAUGCAACGGUCCUUUUUCCUAGUACACCAUCCGGAUUAUCAGAAAAAGUGGCUGCAAAUAACCAAAAAGAGAGACCUUCUGCAGGAAGAAUCAAAGCAUACAGCAGCUCAAAUAAAUGUUGCACAAGUACGCGAUUCUUGGCUAUAAAAUCCCCUGCAUAUGCAUCAAACCUUCCCCUCACACACACCACAAGAAUUCAUCAAAUUUAGAGAGUUAGAAAGCUGGUUGUCUUAGGAACAAGAACUCGAGACAGUGACUACUUAAAGAGGGGCGUCGUCGCACGUCAAGUGAGACCAAGUCGAGGAACGUUCAAUUGAGAGAUUAAGAAAACGAGGUUGAACGUGUGCGAGGAGGCGAAGGUGUUGGGAAAUGACCAUUAAUAAGUAGUUAGGUAGCCCAAAGUAGUACGUCUUCAUUCGUACUAUUUUGUCUUGGACU